AGUGAACGCUGGCGGUAGGCCUAACACAUGCAAGUCGAACGGCAGCACAGAGGAGCUUGCUCCUUGGGUGGCGAGUGGCGGACGGGUGAGGAAUACAUCGGAAUCUACUCUGUCGUGGGGGAUAACGUAGGGAAACUUACGCUAAUACCGCAUACGACCUACGGGUGAAAGCAGGGGAUCUUCGGACCUUGCGCGAUUGAAUGAGCCGAUGUUGGAUUAGCUAGUUGGCGGGGUAAAGGCCCACCAAGGCGACGAUCCGUAGCUGGUCUGAGAGGAGGAUCAGCCACACUGGAACUGAGACACGGUCCAGACUCCUGCGGGAGGCAGCAGUGGGGAAUAUUGGACAAUGGGCGCAAGCCUGAUCCAGCCAUACCGCGUGGGUGAAGAAGGCCUUCGGGUUGUAAAGCCCUUUUGUUGGGAAAGAAAUCCAGCUGGUUAAUACCCGGUUGGGAUGACGGUACCCAAAGAAUAAGCACCGGCUAACUUCGUGCCAGCAGCCGCAGUAA
rnacentral:rRNA from 1 species